rnacentral:rRNA from 1 species
GCAUUCAGAAGCGAGAAUGUUGACAUGAGUAGCGACAAAGCGGGUGAGAGGCCCGCUCGCCGAAAGUCCAAGGGUUCCUGCUUAAAGCUAAUCUGAGCAGGGUGAGCCGACCCCUAAGGCGAGGCCGAAAGGCGUAGUCGAUGGGAACCAGGUUAAUAUUCCUGGGCCAGGAGGAAGUGACGGAUCGUAGCUGUUGUCUGGUCUUAUCGGAUUGAUCAGGCUUCGAAGCGGUCCCUGGAAAUAGCCCUCCAUGAGAUCGUACCCUAAACCGACACAGGUGGACUGGUAGAGCAUACCAAGGCGCUUGAGAGAACUACGUUGAAGGAACUCGGCAAAAUGCCUCCGUAACUUCGGGAGAAGGAGGCCCCGUUGGUGGGCAACCACUGGCGGGGGGCACAAACUAGGGGGUGGCGACUGUUUACUAAAAACACAGGGCUCUGCGAAGCCCAAAGGCGACGUAUAGGGUCUGACGCCUGCCCGGUGCCGGAAGGUUAAAAGGAGGAGUGCAAGCUCUGAAUUGAAGCCCCGGUAAACGGCGGCCGUAACGAUAACGGUCCUAAGGUAGCGAAAUUCCUUGUCGGGUAAGUUCCGACCUGCACGAAUGGCGUAACGACUUCCCCGCUGUCUCCAACGUAGACUCAGCGAAAUUGAAUUCCCCGUGAAGAUGCGGGGUUCCCGCGGUCAGACGGAAAGACCCCGUGCACCUUUACUACAGCUUCACACUGGCAUCAGGCCAGGCAUGUGCAGGAUAGGUGGUAGGCUUUGAAGCGGGGACGCCAGUUCCCGGGGAGCCUCCCUUGAGAUACCACCCUUGCCUUGCCUGAUGUCUAACCGCGGACCGUUAUCCGGUUCCGGGACCCUGUGUGGCGGGUAGUUUGACUGGGGCGGUCGCCUCCCAAAGAGUAACGGAGGCGCGCGAUGGUGGGCUCAGGUUGGUCGGAAAUCAACCGUCGAGUGCAAUGGCAUAAGCCCGCCUGACUGCGAGACUGACAAGUCGAGCAGAGACGAAAGUCGGCCAUAGUGAUCCGGUGGUCCCGCGUGGAAGGGCCAUCGCUCAACGGAUAAAAGGUACGCCGGGGAUAACAGGCUGAUACUGCCCAAGAGUCCAUAUCGACGGCAGUGUUUGGCACCUCGAUGUCGGCUCAUCACAUCCUGGGGCUGGAGAAGGUCCCAAGGGUACGGCUGUUCGCCGUUUAAAGUGGUACGUGAGCUGGGUUUAGAACGUCGUGAGACAGUUCGGUCCCUAUCUGCCGUGGGUGUCGGAGACUUGAGAGGAGUUGCCCCUAGUACGAGAGGACCGGGGUGAACGCACCACUGGUGGACCUGUUGUCGUGCCAACGGCAGUGCAGGGUAGCUAUGUGCGGACAGGAUAACCGCUGAAGGCAUCUAAGCGGGAAGCCCCCCUCAAAACCAGGUCUCCCUUGAGGGCCGUGGAAGACCACCACGUCGAUAGGCCGGAGGUAUAAGUGCAGCAAUGCAUUCAGCUGACCGGUACUAAUCGCCCU